UGGGGAAUAUUGCACAAUGGGCGCAAGCCUGAUGCAGCGACGCCGCGUGAGGGAUGACGGCCUUCGGGUUGUAAACCUCUGUUAGCAGGGAAGAAGAGAGAUUGACGGUACCUGCAGAGAAAGCGCCGGCUAACUACGUGCCAGCAGCCGCGGUAAUACGUAGGGCGCGAGCGUUGUCCGGAAUUAUUGGGCGUAAAGAGCUUGUAGGCGGUUUGUCGCGUCUGCUGUGAAAGGCCGGAGCUUAACUCCGUGUAUUGCAGUGGGUACGGGCAGACUAGAGUGCAGUAGGGGAGACUGGAAUUCCUGGUGUAGCGGUGGAAUGCGCAGAUAUCAGGAGGAACACCGAUGGCGAAGGCAGGUCUCUGGGCUGUAACUGACGCUGAGAAGCGAAAGCAUGGGGAGCGAACAGGAUUAGAUACCCCAGUAGUCCCUGAGCGGGCUGGCAAGGCGCAU
rnacentral:rRNA from 1 species